rnacentral:rRNA from 1 species
AACGAACGCUGGCGGCAGGCUUAACACAUGCAAGUCGAGCGAGACCUUCGGGUCUAGCGGCGGACGGGUGAGUAACGCGUGGGAACGUGCCCUUCUCUACGGAAUAGCCCCGGGAAACUGGGAGUAAUACCGUAUACGCCCUUUGGGGGAAAGAUUUAUCGGAGAAGGAUAGGCCCGCGUUGGAUUAGGUAGUUGGUGGGGUAAUGGCCCACCAAGCCGACGAUCCAUAGCUGGUUUGAGAGGAUGAUCAGCCACACUGGGACUGAGACACGGCCCAGACUCCUACGGGAGGCAGCAGUGGGGAAUCUUAGACAAUGGGGGCAACCCUGAUCUAGCCAUGCCGCGUGAGUGAUGAAGGCCUUAGGGUUGUAAAGCUCUUUCAGCUGGGAAGAUAAUGACGGUACCAGCAGAAGAAGCCCCGGCUAACUCCGUG